UCGUUGGUCUAGGGGUAUGAUUCUCGCUUUGGGUGCGAGAGGUCCCGGGUCCAAAUCCCGGACGAGCCCGGAAUUGGUCUUUUAAAAAAGGCAAUAGAUGUGAUUAGUCAAACGAAAUAUUUCUAUACGAAAACGUUACUUCCAAAUUUAUUCAACUAACGUAGAGUCUAGAGAUGCGCUUGUCGAAAUCUCUCGCCCAGCUAUUUGCAAUUAUUUCCCGUUGACAUGUAACUUUCACCCUUUUGUCGGCUCGUUGGUCUAGGGGUAUGAUUCUCGCUUAGGGUGCGAGAGGUCCCGGGUCCAAAUCCCGGACGAGCCCGGAAGUGCUCUUUUGAAAAGUCAAUAGAUGUGAUUAGUAAAAUGAAAUAUGUCCGUACGAAAAGGUCACUUCCAAAUUUAUUCAACUAACGUAGAGUCUAGAGAUGCGCUUGUCGAAUUCUCUCGCCCAGCUAUUUGCAAUUAUUUCCCGUUGACAUGUAACUUUCACCCUUUUGUCGGCUCGUUGGUCUAGGGGUAUGAUUCUCGCUUAGGGUGCGAGAGGUCCCGGGUCCAAAUCCCGGACGAGCCCGGAAUUGGUCUUUUGAAACAGUCAAUGGCUGUGAUUAGUCAAACGAAAUAUUUCUAUACGAAAACGUUACUUCCAAAUUUAUUCAACUAACGUAGAGUCUAGAGAUGCGCUUGUCGAAUUCUCUCGCCCAGCUAUUUGCAAUUAUUUCCCGUUGACAUGUAACUUUCACCCUUUUGUCGGCUCGUUGGUCUAGGGGUAUGAUUCUCGCUUCGGGUGCGAGAGGUCCCGGGUUCAAAUCCCGGACGAGCCCGAUGGAACUUGUUUGAUGCUGUUAGCGGUUGUAAUUUGUAAAUGAUGACAAAAAAGUUACUCCCCAAUUUGGUCAGUGAACGACCAUAUUGCUAGUUUGUUUCCAAAAAAUAGGCAAACACAACAAACUAGUGAAAAAAAAACAAGCAAUUUGUUGACCACGGAUACGCUGAUUCAAUUCUCUUGCCUGGCCAAAUAGGAUUUUGUCCCAUGGACAUAGCAUUAAUAGUUUUUGUCGGCUCGUUGGUCUAGGGGUAUGAUUCUCGCUUUGGGUGCGAGAGGUCCCGGGUCCAAAUCCCGGACGAGCCCGGGAUUGGUCUUUUGAAAGUCAAUAGAUGUGAUAAGUAAAAUGAAAUAUGUCUAUACGAAAAUUUAACUUCCAAAUUUUUUCAACUAACGUAGAGUCUAGAGAUGCUCUUGUCGAUAUCUCUCGCCCAGCUAUUUGCAAUUAUUUCCCGUUGACAUGUAACUUUCACCCUUUUGUCGGCUCGUUGGUCUAGGGGUAUGAUUCUCGCUUUGGGUGCGAGAGGUCCCGGGUCCAAAUCCCGGACGAGCCCGGAAUUGGUCUUUUGAAACAGUCAAUAGAUGUGAUUAGUAAAAUGAAAUAUGUCUAUACGAAAAUGUUACUUCCAAAUUUAUUCAAUUAACGUAGAGUCUAGAGAUGCGCUUGUCGAUAUCUCUCGCUCAGCUAUUUGCAAUUAUUUCCCGUUGACAUGUAACUUUCACCCUUUUGUCGGCUCGUUGGUCUAGGGGUAUGAUUCUCGCUUAGGGUGCGAGAGGUCCCGGGUCCAAAUCCCGGACGAGCCCGGAAUUGGUCUUUUGAAAAAGUCAAUAGAUGUGAUUAGUAAAAUGAAAUAUGUCUAUACGAAAAUGUUACUUCCAAAUUUAUUCAAUUAACGUAGAGUCUAGAGAUGCGCUUGUCGAUAUCUCUCGCCCAGCUAUUUGCAAUUAUUUUCCGUUGUCAUGUAACUUUCACCCUUUUGUCGGCUCGUUGGUCUAGGGGUAUGAUUCUCGCUUAGGGUGCGAGAGGUCCCGGGUCCAAAUCCCGGACGAGCCCGGAAGUGCUCUUUUGAAACAGUCAAUGGCUGUGAUUAGUCAAACAAAAUAUGUCGGAAUGAAAAUGUUACAUCCAAAUUUAUUCAAUUAACGUAGAGUCUAGAGAUGCUCUUGUCGAUAUCUCUCGCCCAGCUAUUUGCAAUUAUUUCCCGUUGACAUGUAACUUUCACCCUUUUGUCGGCUCGUUGGUCUAGGGGUAUGAUUCUCGCUUAGGG
ensembl:lncRNA